rnacentral:rRNA from 1 species
CGCUCCUUGUUUUACCAAAUAUAAGGAGUAGGACCUGCCCGGUGAGAUUUUUAACGGCCGCGGUACUCUGACCGUGCAAAGGUAGCAUAAUCAUUUGCCUUAUAAUUGAAGGCUUGUAUGAAUGGUUUGACGAAAUCGAUACUGUCUCUUUUUUACUUUGUAGAAUUUGACUUAAGGGUGAAGAGGCCCUUAUCUCACUGAAGGACAAGAAGACCCUGUCGAGCUUAAAGAAUAGGUGGAGAAUUAAUAUAAAACUAAAUAAAUAGAUUACUAGAUAAUUCUUUUGGUUGGGGCGACUAAGGAACAGAAAAAGCUUCCUUUAUUCUUUAUAUCUUACAGGUUAAAGAUCCAGCUAUGCUGAUUGUAGAAAUUAGUUACCGCAGGGAUAACAGCAUAAUCUCUCUUAAGAGACCAUAUCGAAAGGGGGGGUUGUGACCUCGAUGUUGGACUAGGAUAUCCUAAAGAUGUAGAAGUCUUUGAGGGUUGGUCUGUUCGACCAUUAAAAUCCU